rnacentral:rRNA from 1 species
AAACGACUCUCGGCAACGGAUAUCUUGGCUCACGCAUCGAUGAAGAACGUAGCAAAAUGCGAUACUUGGUGUGAAUUGCAGAAUCCCGUGAACCAUCGAGUUUUUGAACGCAAGUUGCGCCCAAAGCCGUUUGGCCGAGGGCACGUCUGCCUGGGCGUCACG